CCUUCGGGUGGGUGGAGAGCGGCGAACGGGUGAGUAACACGUGAGAAACCUGCCCCGGACACCGGAAUAACAGUGGGAAACCGCUGCUAAUGCCGGAUACACCAACCUCAUCGCAUGGUGGAGUUGGGAAAGGUCCGCCGGUCCGGGAUGGUCUCGCGGCCUAUCAGCUUGUUGGUGGGGUAACGGCCUACCAAGGCAACGACGGGUAGCUGGCGUGAGAGCGUGGCCAGCCACACUGGGACUGAGAUACGGCCCAGACUCCUACGGGAGGCAGCAGUGGGGAAUCUUGCACAAUGGGCGAAAGCCUGAUGCAGCGACGCCGCGUGAGGGAUGAAGGCCCUAGGGUUGUAAACCUCUUUCAGCAGGGACGAAGCGAAAGUGACGGUACCUGCAGAAGAAGCCCCGGCUAACUACGUGCCAGCAGCCGCGGUAAUACGUAGGGGGCGAGCGUUGUCCGGAUUUAUUGGGCGUAAAGAGCGCGUAGGUGGUUCGUAAAGUCGGAAGUGAAAUUCCAGGGCUCAACCCUGGGACGCCUUUCGAUACUUGCGGACUAGAGCACGGUAGGGGGAUCUGGAAUUCCUGGUGUAGCGGUGAAAUGCGCAGAUAUCAGGAGGAACACCGGUGGCGAAGGCGGGAUCCUGGGCCGUUGCUGACACUGAGGCGCGAAAGCUGGGGGAGCGAACAGGAUUAGAUACCCUGGUAGUCCCAGCCGUAAACGAUGGGUGCUAGGUGUGGG
rnacentral:rRNA from 1 species